UACCAAGGCAAUGAUGCAUAGCCGAGUUGAGAGACUGAUCGGCCACAAUGGAACUGAGACACGGUCCAUACUCCUACGGGAGGCAGCAGUAGGGAAUCUUCCACAAUGGGCGCAAGCCUGAUGGAGCAACACCGCGUGAGUGAAGAAGGGUUUCGGCUCGUAAAACUCUGUUGUUGAAGAAGAACGUGCGUGAGAGUAACUGUUCAUGCAGUGACGGUAUUCAACCAGGAAGUCACGGCUAACUACGUGCCAGCAGCCGCGGUAAUACGUAGGUGGCAAGCGUUAUCCGGAUUUAUUGGGCGUAAAGCGAGCGCAGGCGGUUGCUUAGGUCUGAUGUGAAAGCCUUCGGCUUAACCGAAGAAGUGCAUCGGAAACCGGGCGACUUGAGUGCAGAAGAGGACAGUGGAACUCCAUGUGUAGCGGUGGAAUGCGUAGAUAUAUGGAAGAACACCAGUGGCGAAGGCGGCUGUCUGGUCUGCAACUGACGCUGAGGCUCGAAAGCAUGGGUAGCGAACAGGAUUAGAUACCCUGGUAGUCCAUGCCGUAAACGAUGAGUGCUAGGUGUUGGAGGGUUUCCGCCCUUCAGUGCCGCAGCUAACGCAUUAAGCACUCCGCCUGGGGAGUACGACCGCAAGGUUGAAACUCAAAGGAAUUGACGGGGGCCCGCACAAGCGGUGGAGCAUGUGGUUUAAUUCGAAGCUACGCGAAGAACCUUACCAGGUCUUGACAUCUUGCGCUAACCUAAGAGAUUAGGCGUUCCCUUCGGGGACGCAAUGACAGGUGGUGCAUGGUCGUCGUCAGCUCGUGUCGUGAGAUGUUGGGUUAAGUCCCGCAACGAGCGCAACCCUUGUUACUAGUUGCCAGCAUUCAGUUGGGCACUCUAGUGAGACUGCCGGUGACAAACCGGAGGAAGGUGGGGACGACGUCAGAUCAUCAUGCCCCUUAUGACCUGGGCUACACACGUGCUACAAUGGCCGGUACAACGAGCAGCUAACCCGCGAGGGUGUGCAAAUCUCUUAAAGCCGGUCUCAGUUCGGACUGCAGUCUGCAACUCGACUGCACGAAGUCGGAAUCGCUAGUAAUCGCGGAUCAGCAUGCCGCGGUGAAUACGUUCCCGGGCCUUGUACACACCGCCCGUCACACCAUGGAAGUUUGCAAUGCCCAAAGUCAGUGGCCUAACCAUUUUGGAGGG
rnacentral:rRNA from 1 species